GCAUCCUUUUUCAUCUCAUUCAAUUCUUUCUUUGCAAGGUACCGUUUCACCAGCUGCUCGCAGAGUUCCUGGAGGAAAAAAUUGUAUGUUUGGAAAUGUCUCACGGAGUCGCUUCUGCUUGAAAACAAGGAAUGCCAGGCCAAGAAUGAUUGGAAUCUGGAGUGCAUGAGAAUAAAGCAAAAAGGAGGAAUUGAUAUCGCUCUCUGGCAAACCUCAAAAAUUCGUCGAGUUCUGAAUCACCACUGUUCCAUCGCAUUUGUCCCGUAGAAACGGACGAACAAUCAUAGGG